rnacentral:misc_RNA from 1 species
AAGUCGUAACAAGGUUUCCGUAGGUGAACCUGCGGAAGGAUCAUUAACACUCUUUUUUAUGAAAGAGCUCAUUUUUUGAUUCCUUGUUUUUUCCUUUUCCUCUAUUUUCUGGGGGAUUUGGGAGAAACUUGGAUUCAAAUUAUGGGUAUUCACCCCCUUAUAUUGACGAACGAAGAAAAAUAAUGAUUUUGUUUCAAAAGCAAAACUCAUAUUUUUCUAUCUUUUUCUCUAUACCUUAUAUUUUUCAAAACCCCUUUUUUUACAAUAUGUCUUAGACUGAGUUGAAAAAUUAAGAUAAAUUAAAAAACAACUCUUAACAACGGAUAUCUUGGUUCUC